rnacentral:rRNA from 1 species
AUUGAACGCUGGCGGCAGGCCUAACACAUGCAAGUCGAACGAGUGGCGGACGGGUGAGUAUUGUCUGGGAAACUGCCCGAGGGAGGGGGAUAACUACUGGAAACGGUAUCUAAUACCGCAUACUAUCGUAUGUGCCCCGAUGGGUUUAGCUCGUAGGUGGGGUAACGGCUCACCUGGGCGACGAUCCCUAGCUGGUCUGAGAGGAUGACCAGCCACACUGGAACUGAGACAAGGUCAAGACUCCUACGGGAGGCAGCAGUGGGGAAUAUUGCACAAUGGGCGCAAGCCUGAUGCAGCCAUGCCGCGUGUAUGAAGAAGGCCUUCGGGUUGUAAAGUACUUUCAGCGAGGAGGCGUUACUCGCAGAAGAAGCACCGGCUAACUCCGUGCCAGCCGCCGCGGUAAUUC